GACUCAACACGGGGAAACUCACCAGGUCCAGACAUAACUAGGAUUGACAGAUUGAUAGCUCUUUCUUGAUUUUAUGGGUGGUGGUGCAUGGCCGUUCUUAGUUGGUGGAGUGAUUUGUCUGGUUAAUUCCGAUAACGAACGAGACCUUAACCUGCUAAAUAGCCAGACCGUCUUUUGAUGGUUGCAGGCUUCUUAGAGGGACUGUCAGGAUCUACCUGACGGAAGUUUGAGGCAAUAACAGGUCUGUGAUGCCCUUAGAUGUUCUGGGCCGCACGCGCGCUACACUGACAAAGCCAGCGAGUUUAUCACCUUGGCCGGAAGGUCCGGGUAAUCUUGUGAAACUUUGUCGUGCUGGGGAUAGAGCAUUGCAAUUAUUGCUCUUCAACGAGGAAUGCCUAGUAAGCGCAAGUCAUCAGCUUGCGUUGAUUACGUCCCUGCCCUUUGUACACACCGCCCGUCGCUACUACCGAUUGAAUGGCUUAGUGAGGUCUUCGGAUUGGCGUUAGGGACCCGGCAACGGGACUCUUUUGCUGAGAAGUUGAUCAAACUUGGUCAUUUAGAGGAAGUAAAAGUCGUAACAAGGUUUCCGUAGCACAAGUCUACGAAGAACAGUAAUGUUCCUUCCGCAGAGUACACUUGCAGAAGCCUUAGUGGCCCGAAAGGGUGUCAUCAACGACUAUAAACAAGUAGAUGGAUUAAACGCUAGUCUCUUCUAGAGGCAACACUAUCAAAUUGCGGGAAGAUCCUGUCAUGUCCACAUCACCGCGGCUCACCGAAAGGUGCAGUGCAGCACCAGGUUAACUACCUUGGGAAUGGUAAUAGCAUGUUGGAAUAGGGAGAAUCCGCAGCCAAGCCCCUUUGUGGGGUGCAGUUCACAGGCCAAAUGGUAGUGGGCACUUCAAGUGCUUAAGAUAUGGUCGAGUCCCAGUUGUAAAGCUGGGUACAAGUACUCUUGCUUGGAUAUAAAAUGCAAAUGUUCCGUAGGUGAACCUGCGGAAGGAUCAUUAAUGAAUUAUAAGCCGGUCGUCUGUGCUGGUGGGGCAACUCACAUGUGCACGUCGAUCGCAAAUCCACACACCUGUGCACUUUUGACUUUGGGAUCCACUGGUUGGCUUGUCCGACUUGUAGCUGGUUUUGGUCUUGUACCUUGGCCUGGGUCUCAGAGUAAUUUUUACACACUCUGAAUGUAAUGGAAUGUCUUGUGCAUAAUGCAUAUAAAAACAACUUUCAACAACGGAUCUCUUGGCUCUCGCACCGAUGAAGAACGCAGCGAAAUGCGAUAAGUAAUGUGAAUUGCAGAAUUCAGUGAAUCAUCGAAUCUUUGAACGCACCUUGCACCUUUUGGUAUUCCGAAAGGUACACCCGUUUGAGUGUCAUUGUAAUCUCACUCCUUCAACUUUGUUGUUGCUGGAUGUGGACUUGGACUCUGUCGUGUUACAGCGACUGGUCUGAAAUGCCUGAGUACACCCUGCUGUUGCAGCGUCUUCAGUGUGAUAAGCAUCUUCACUGAUUCAAGUUCCUUUUGGGACACGUAGCAUUGUGGGCUCUGUGCUGACAAACCGUCUUCGGACAAACUUUGACAAUUUGACCUCAAAUCGGGUGGGACUACCCGCUGAACUUAAGCAUAUCAAUAAGCGGAGGAAAAGAAACUAACAAGGAUUCCCCUAGUAACGGCGAGUGAAGAGGGAAAAGCUCAAAUUUUGAAUCUGGUGUCUUUGGCGCCCGAGUUGUAAUCUAGAGAAGUGUUUUCUGCCUCGGACCACACAUAAAUUCCCUGGAAUGGGGUGUCAUAGAGGGUGAGAAUCCCGUUUGUGGUGUGGACUACCUUGGCUCUGUGAUACACUCUCAACGAGUCGAGUUGUUUGGGAAUGCAGCUCAAAAUGGGUGGUAAAUUCCAUCUAAAGCUAAAUAUUGGCGAGAGACCGAUAGCGAACAAGUACCGUGAGGGAAAGAUGAAAAGCACUUUGGAAAGAGAGUGAAACAGUACGUGAAAUUGUUGAAAGGGAAGCGUUUGAAGUCAGUCACAUCGAUCGGAAUUCAGCCUGGCUUUGCCUGGUGUACUUUCUGGUAGAUGGGUCAGCGUCAAUUUCGACUGAGGGAAAAAGACUUGAGGAAUGUGGCUGUCUUCGGGCAGUGUUAUAGCCUCUUGUUGUAUGUCUCAGUUGGGAUUGAGGACCGCAGCACGCCAUUUGGCCGGGGUUCGCGCCCUCGGAACGUGCUUAGGACGCUGGCAUAAUGGCUUUAAGCGACCCGUCUUGAAACACGGACCAAGGAGUCUAACAUGUGCGCGAGUGUUUAGGUGUUAAACCUGGGCGCGUAAUGAAAGUGAAAGGUCGGGAUCAUGUACUUGUGCACCGACGCCCGGAGCAGACCUUCUGUGACGCAUCCGCGGUAGAGCGUAUAUGUUGGGACCCGAAAGAUGGUGAACUAUGCCUGAAUAGGGUGAAGCCAGAGGAAACUCUGGUGGAGGCUCGUAGCGAUUCUGACGUGCAAAUCGAUCGUCAAAUUUGGGUAUAGGGGCGAAAGACUAAUCGAACCAUCUAGUAGCUGGUUCCUGCCGAAGUUUCCCUCAGGAUAGCAGAAACUCAUUAUCAGCCUUGUGCGGUAAAGCGAAUGAUUAGAGGCCUUGGGGUUGAAACAACCUUAACCUAUUCUCAAACUCUAAAUGUGCAAGAUAGAGUUGUCACUUGAUUGGACUUCUCUGUGGGUGAGAGUUUCUAGUGGG
rnacentral:rRNA from 1 species